AGUCAAUCUUCCACUUGAGACAUAGUAAACUUGCAAGAGAAUAAUCUGCAAACCCAAGCUUGUGACUGUUGAAAUGGGGGGAAGCACUGUAGGUUGACUUAUGCUGUAAAAUACACUUUCCUCAAUUUGUUUUAUCUUUUCUUGAUUGCAGGGUGAUAACUUCUAGAAGAUACUGCUGAAAUAAUGCUGGAUCAUCUGUGCUGAUGGCAGACGUGAGUGGUGCCUCUACCAAUACGUAAGUUCUGGUGACUAGAAGGCAGCAGUGAAGCAGUGGAUAUGCAUUGCAAAAUCAAAGGAUAACAAAGUGCAACUGUUAAAGCUUGGCUUUUGAGUGGGCUGUUAACGCAGUAUUUGUUUUAGAGGCUUGUGUUAUCAUUCAGGAAUUGCCUUUGAAAGUAGCGCUGCUAAUCUCUUGGAUAUGAAAAGAACUCUCAGGUGGAAGUCAGUUGCUGUUUGCCACAGCUAAUACCUUCCAAGAGUCCAGAGCAGCCCUUUUACAAGUCAGUAUACAUGCAUCAGUAGAUUGUGCAGCAAAUACUCCAGGUUGCCCUUUACAUGGGGUACUUUCUCUUAAUGCUGAAAAAAAAAGCAAGUUAUAUAAAAGUGAGUUUUAAUCCUCUAAAAUACAGAGGACUAAAUUGUUACAAAUUCUUCUUCACCAAGAAACUAUGAAAAGUUUUACUGUAUUCUUGCAUUAACAGCUUUAUAAUUGUCCAGGCCUUCUGGAUGAGAGGAAGUGUUGAGAUACUGAGAUGAUACUAGUGAUAAAUCCCCAGAGUAAUCAGUGGUGUUGUAUGUACUGGGUUCUUGGAAAACUCCAGACAGUGUUGCAUCUCUUGGUUUUGAUGCAUUUUUAUCUUACAUAAAUAUUGAUGCACCAAUGUAUGAGAGAGGAAUCCUCAGGCACCAGUAUUUAAUACAGAAAAUAAAACUUCAGACUGAAUGAAAUACCUGAACAGUCGUGGCUGAUAAAGUUUAUAUUGACUUCUUCCAUGGUAGGCAAACUGAUCUCAUUUAAACAACUAGCACUGCUUUAUGAUGAGUAGCUGAAGAAGAAAAAGCUGCAUACCUAAUCUAGGGAUUUAAAACUGCCUUUGGGGUUCAGGAUAACAAUACCACUUUAAACUUCAGUUACGGACUGCAGAUUCUAGGAGUAAAUCUGCCUGUAUGUAGUACAUGGGUAGAAUUGCAGUAUUGCGCAGGGCUAAUAAACUUACUGUUGAACAAAA